rnacentral:rRNA from 1 species
UACAGAGGGUGCGAGCGUUGUUCGGAAUCAUUGGGCGUAAAGGGCGCGUAGGCGGACUAUCACGUCUGGGGUGAAAUCCCGCGGCUCAACCGUGGAACUGCCUCAGAUACUGACGGUCUCGAGGGAGGUAGGGGCAUGCGGAACUGUAGGUGGAGCGGCGAAAUGCGUUGAUAUCUACAGGAACUCCGGUGGCGAAAGCGGCGUGCUGGACCUCUUCUGACGCUGAGGCGCGAAAGCUAGGGGAGCAAACGGG